rnacentral:rRNA from 1 species
CCCUUAGAUGUUCUGGGCCGCACGCGUGCUACACUGAGUGGAUCAGCGGGUCAGGUUGCGCGAAAGCGUUUCCUAAUCUUUAAAUCCGCUCGUGAUGGGGAUUGACGGUUGCAAUUUUCUGUCAUGAACGAGGAAUACCUUGUAAGCGCGGGUCAUCAUCCCGCGCUGAAUACGUCCCUGCCCUUUGUACACACCGCCCGUCGCUCCUACCGAUUGAGUGGACCGGUGAGGCUUUGGGAUCUGAGCGGAAAGAGCGUUUCGCUGUUUCUGCUCGGAAAACUCAGUCGAACCUUAUCAUUUAGAGGAAGGAGAAGUCGUAACA